rfam:Danio rerio chromosome 4, GRCz11 reference primary assembly.
GGCCCAGUGGCCUAAUGGAUAAGGCACCAGACUUCGAAGCUGGGGAUUGUGGGUUCAAGUCCCACCGGGGUUG